GCUCUCUUAGCUCAGUACGGUUAGAGCACUUGACUGUUAAUCAAGGUGUCCUUGGUUCAAAUCCAAGAGAGAGCG
rnacentral:tRNA from 1 species